rnacentral:rRNA from 1 species
GCAAGUCGAACGAGAACGGUCCUAGCUUGCUAGGAUGUCAGCUAAGUGGCGGACGGGUGUGACAUGUAUAGUUAAUUUGCCCCUUAGAGAGGGAUAACAGAUGGAAACGACUGCUAAUACCUCAUACUCCUUCUGCCUUAAUGGUAGUUGGGAAAUGUUUUUUCGUUAAGGGAUGAGACUAUAUGGUAUCAGGUAGUUGGUAGGGUAAGAGCCUACCAAGCCAAUGACGCCUAGCUGGUCUGAGAGGAUGAUC